UAACUGCGAGUGAAGCGGCAAAAGCUCAAAUUUGAAAUCUGACGUUUUUGACGUCCGAGUUGUAAUUUGGAGGGAUAUCUUCGGAGCUGGCGCCGUCCUAAGUUCUUUGGAACCAGACAUCAUAGAGGGUGAGAAUCCCGUGCCUGGAUGGCUGUCCUGCUCCAUGUGAAGUGUCUCCGACGAGUCGAGUUGUUUGGGAAUGCAGCUCAAAAUGGGUGGUAAAUUUCAUCUAAAGCUAAAUAUUGGCGAGAGACCGAUAGCGCACAAGUAGAGUGAUCGAAAGAUGAAAAGCACUUUGAAAAGAGAGUUAAAUAGUACGUGAAAUUGUUGAAAGGGAAGCGCUUGAGACUAGAUUCGGCCGGCGGUUAUCAGCGACGUUUUUACGUAGUGCACUUGCCGUCGGUUGAGCCAGCAUCGGUUCUGAUGGUGGGAUAAAGGUUUCAGGAAUGUGGCUCCUCGAUUUCGGGGAGUGUUAUAGCCUGGAGCGCAAUGCCGCCUGUUGGGACCGAGGACCGCGCUUUCGCUAGGAUGCUGGC
rnacentral:rRNA from 1 species